ACGGCCCCCUGAGCUAAAAUGAGUUUGACUCCCCUGGCGUAGGAGAUCAAGAAAGAGGAGGAUUUGGGCUCUCGCAGUUUGUGGACAUGAGGAGUGUGAGGGCAAGCAAUUGGAGCCAGAAGUGGUGGAACAUCAACUGCCGCAGACAGAAGACAGAGCCAGUGACAAGCAGCAAAUGUCAGCGAGAAAAAAAGAAGAAGAAAGUGACGGUACCC